rnacentral:rRNA from 1 species
UACCGGCAGCACGAGUGAUAGCCACUAUUAUUGGGCCUAAAGCGUCCGUAGCUGGCCGAACAGGUCCGUCGGGAAAUCCACCCGCUCAACGGGUGGGCGUCCGGCGGAAACCAGUCGGCUUGGGGCCGGAAGACCCGAGGGGUACGUCCGGGGUAGGAGUGAAAUCCUGUAAUCCUGGACGGACCGCCGGUGGCGAAAGCGCCUCGGGAAGACGGACCCGACAGUGAGGGACGAAAGCUUGGGUCUCGAACCGG